GACGAACGCUGGCGGCGUGCUUAACACAUGCAAGUCGAACGAUGAAGCUCUAGCUUGCUGGGGUGGAUUAGUGGCGAACGGGUGAGUAACACGUGAGUAACCUGCCCUUUACUUCGGGAUAAGCUUGGGAAACUGGGUCUAAUACCGGAUAUUCUGCGUGAUCGGAUGGUUGUGUAGGAAAGAUUUUUUGGUAAGGGAUGGGCUCGCGGCCUAUCAGUUUGUUGGUGGGGUGAUGGCCUACCAAGACGACGACGGGUAGCCGGCCUGAGAGGGCGACCGGCCACACUGGGACUGAGACACGGCCCAGACUCCUACGGGAGGCAGCAGUGGGGAAUAUUGCACAAUGGGGGAAACCCUGAUGCAGCGACCCCGCGUGGGGGAUGACCGCCUUCGGGUUGUAAACCUCUUUCAGUAGGGAAGAAGUGAAAGUGACGGUACCUGCAGAAGAAGUACCGGCUAACUACGUGCCAGCAGCCGCGGUAAUACCUAAGGGACUAGCGUUGUCCGGAAUUAUUGGGCGUAAGAGCUCGUAGGUGGUUUGUCGCGUCUGCUGUGGAAACGUGCCGCUUAACGGUGCGCGUGCAGUGGGUACGGGCGGACUAGAGUGCAGUAGGGGAGUCUGGAAUUCCUGGUGUAGCGGUGAAAUGCGCAGAUAUCAGGAGGAACACCGGUGGCGAAGGCGGGACUCUGGGCUGUUACUGACGCUGAGGAGCGAAAGCAUGGGGAGCGAACAGGAUUAGAUACCCUGGUAGUCCAUGCCGUAAACGUUGGGCACUAGGUGUGGGGUCCAUUCCACGGAUUCUGCGCCGUAGCUAACGCAUUAAGUGCCCCGCCUGGGGAGUACGGCCGCAAGGCUAAAACUCAAAGGAAUUGACGGGGGCCCGCACAAGCGGCGGAGCAUGCGGAUUAACUCGAUGCAACGCGAAGAACCUUACCAAGGCUUGACAUGCACUAGACCAUCGCAGAGAUGUGGUUUUCUUUUUGACUGGUGUACAGGUGGUGCAUGGUUGUCGUCAGCUCGUGUCGUGAGAUGUUGGGUUAAGUCCCGCAACGAGCGCAACCCUCGUUCUAUGUUGCCAGCACGUGAUGGUGGGAACUCAUGGGAGACUGCCGGGGUCAACUCGGAGGAAGGUGGGGAUGACGUCAAAUCAUCAUGCCCUUUAUGUCUUGGGCUUCACGCAUGCUACAAUGGCCGGUACAGAGGGUGGCGAUACCGUGAGGUGGAGCGAAUCUCUUAAAGCCGGUCUCAGUUCGGAUCGUAGUCUGCAACUCGACUACGUGAAGUCGGAGUCGCUAGUAAUCGCAGAUCAGCAAUGCUGCGGUGAAUACGUUCCCGGGCCU
rnacentral:rRNA from 1 species